CCUACGGGUGGCAGCAGUAGGGAAUAUUGCUCAAUGGGCGAAACCCUGAAGCAGCAACGCCGCGUGGAGGAUGAAGGUUUUAGGAUUGUAAACUCCUUUUGUUAGAGAGGAUUAUGACGGUAUCUCACGAAUAAGCACCGGCUAACUCCGUGCCAGCAGCCGCGGUAAUACGGAGGGUGCAAGCGUUACUUGGAAUCACUGGGCGUAAAGAGUGCGUAGGCGGGGUAAUAAGUCAGAUGUGAAAGCCUGUAGCUUAACUACAGAACUGCAUUUGAAACUGGUAAUCUUGAGUGUGGGAGAGGUAGGUGGAAUUCUUGGUGUAGGGGUAAAAUGCGUAGAGAUCAUGAGGAAUACUCAUUGCGAAGGCGACCUGCUGGAACAUUACUGACGCUGAUGCACGAAAGCGUGGGGAGCAAACAGGAUUAGAUACCCUUGUAGUC
rnacentral:rRNA from 1 species